GUCAUGCUAGAGUACGUUUUCAAUGGGCUCCCCAACGACAAGGCGACGACGCAUUCGUAUGUCAUUCAUAUCAACUUUCGAUGCCAUUUACUGUGCCUACCAUGGUGACCAAGAGUAACGGGGAAUCAGGGUUCAGUUCCUGAGAGGGAGCCUGAGAAAUGGCUACCACAUGCCAGGAAGGCAGCAGGC